GAGGGCAUAGCUCAGUGGUAGAGCACAUACUUACUAUGCAUGAAGUCCUGGGUUCAAUCCCCAGUACUUCCA
rfam:Camelus ferus unplaced genomic scaffold scaffold803, whole genome shotgun sequence.